AGCCGAAACGCCCUUUGGGGCGUCCGCUGGAAAUGGCCUCCCAGCGCUGAUGAGGCAGGCCCGC
rnacentral:hammerhead_ribozyme from 1 species